GCCGACGCUGUGCCAGGCACUUUGCAGACCUGCGGUAUUUGGUUCAACGCUGGGAAGUCCACUUUUUGCACAACAGAGUUGAAUAUUGGCAAAUCGUUCAACGUGCUUCGCCCUGGCUCAGCAGGAUCUGAGCCCACAGGAUCAGAGGAAAAAGGCGGAUUGUACCAUUAUUGUCACACCACUGAAGAAAUCAUCUUCCAGCUCACAAGACCUCAGAUAAGAGGGAAACUGCUCUACUCAAG